UGAGUUCUGUAGGCAACAAACUGCUCACAGGAUCACUGGACAGGCACGUCAAAGUGUAUAACUCCUCUUAUAAGGUUGUACAUAAUUUCGACUGUGAUGCAUCCAUCCUUAGUAUGGCUAUUGCGCCUGAUGAUGAAGCGCUUGCCGUGGGGAUGACCAAUGGUGUGCUGAGUGUCAGGCACAGGAGACACCAAAAAGACAAAGAGAUGUUAACUAGUCGAAGGCGACGGGGCCCGUCAUACCAGGUCUUUGUCAAGGGGAAGAACUUUGUGCCCAGACAGGUGAUUA